GAUGAACGCUGACAGAAUGCUUAACACAUGCAAGUCAACUUGAAGUUGGGUUUUUAACUUAGAUUUGGGUGGCGGACGGGUGAGUAACGCGUAAAGAACUUGCCUCACAGUUAGGGACAACAUUUAGAAAUGAAUGCUAAUACCUGAUAUUAUGAUUUUAAGGCAUCUUAGAAUUAUGAAAGCUAUAAGCACUGUGAGAGAGCUUUGCGUCCCAUUAGCUAGUUGGAGAGGUAACAGCUCACCAAGGCGAUGAUGGGUAGCCGGCCUGAGAGGGUGAACGGCCACAAGGGGACUGAGACACGGCCCUUACUCCUGCGGGAGGCAGCAGUGGGGAAUAUUGGACAAUGGACCGAGAGUCUGAUCCAGCAAUUCUGUGUGCACGAUGAAGUUUUUCGGAAUGUAAAGUGCUUUCAGUUGGGAAGAAAUAAAUGACGGUACCAACAGAAGAAGUGACGGCUAAAUACGUGCCAGCAGCCGCGGUAAUACGUAUGUCACGAGCGUUAUCCGGAUUUAUUGGGCGUAAAGCGCGUCUAGGUGGUUAUGUAAGUCUGAUGUGAAAAUGCAGGGCUCAACUCUGUAUUGCGUUGGAAACUGUAUAACUAGAGUACUGGAGAGGUAAGCGGAACUACAAGUGUAGAGGUGAAAUUCGUAGAUAUUUGUAGGAAUGCCGAUGGGGAAGCCAGCUUACUGGACAGAUACUGACGCUAAAGCGCGAAAGCGUGGGUAGCAAACAGG
rnacentral:rRNA from 1 species